rnacentral:rRNA from 1 species
CAGAAGCGUAUAUUAAUGUUGUUGCAGUUAAAACGCUUGUAGUUGGAUCUUGGAGGUUUUUGGUAUGAGCUCUGUCCGCCUGAAGGCGAGUACGGACUCUCCACCUCUGUAUUUGGCAAUAACGCACACGGGGCUUUAAUCGGUUGCUGUGUUUGGUGGAGGGUUUAAUAGCCCGAGGCCAAGGGGUAUGGGACGUGGAAACGCGGGUACCGCUCAGUGUUUUGCCUCAUUUACUUUGAAAAAAAUAGAGUGCUCAAAGCAGACCUUAGGGUCAUUGAAUAAUUCAGCAUGGGAUAAUAGAACAAGAAGCUCGAAUUCAUUUUGUUGGUAUUAUGAAUUUAGCUUAAUGAUUAAAAGGGAUCGUCGGGGUGGUUUGUAUUGAAGAGCUAGAGGUGAAAUUCUUGGAUUUCUUCAAGACAAACAACUGCGAAAGCAAUCUACUAGGAGAUUCCCAUUAA